GACGAACGCUGGCGGCGCGCUUAACACAUGCAAGUCGAACGGAAAGGCCUGCUUUCCCUUGUGGAUUGCGGGUACUCGAGUGGCGAACGGGUGAGUAACACGUGAGUGAUCUGCCCCCAACUUGGGUAUAAGCCUGGGAAACUGGGUCUAAUUCCCGAUAGGACUGCAGGGUGGUGCCUGUGGUGGAAAACGAUUUUCUAGUGGUUGGGGAUGAGCUCGCGGCCUAUCAGCUUGUUGGUGGGGUAAUGGCCUACCAAGGCGGCGACGGGUAGCCGGCCUGAGAGGGGGGACGGCCACAUUGGGACUGAGAUACGGCCCAGACGCCUACGGGAGGCAGCAGUGGGGAAUAUGACACAAUGGGCGGAAGCCUGAUGCAGCGACGCCGCGUGGGGGAUGACGGCCUUCGGGUUGUAAACUCCUUUCGACCGCGAGGAAGCCACCUGGUUGGAAGGGUGGUGACGGUAGUGGUAGAAGAAGCACCGGCUAACUACGUG
rnacentral:rRNA from 1 species